ACCUGGCUGGCUCAGUUGGAAGAGCAUAUGACGCUUGAUCUUGAAGUGUGGGUUCAGUCCCCAUGUUGGGUG
rnacentral:tRNA from 1 species